rnacentral:rRNA from 1 species
ACGUAGGUCACAAGCGUUGUCCGGAAUUACUGGGUGUAAAGGGAGCGCAGGCGGGAAGACAAGUUGGAAGUGAAAUCCAUGGGCUCAACCCAUGAACUGCUUUCAAAACUGUUUUUCUUGAGUAGUGCAGAGGUAGGCGGAAUUCCCGGUGUAGCGGUGGAAUGCGUAGAUAUCGGGAGGAACACCAGUGGCGAAGGCGGCCUACUGGGCACCCACUGACGCUGAGGCUCGAAAGUGUGGGUAGCCAACAG